rnacentral:tRNA from 1 species
GCCAGUGUGGCAUAGUGGUUUGAGCGCUGGACUAUGAUUCUGGAGACCAGAGUUCAAAUCCUGGCUUGGCU